UACAGAGGGGGCAAGCGUUAUUCGGAAUUACUGGGCGUAAAGCGUGCGCAGGCGGUUUUGUAAGACAGAUGUGAAAUGCCCGGGCUUAACCUGGGAACUGCAUUUGUGACUGCAAGGCUAGAGUGUGUCAGAGGGGGUAGAAUUCCACGGUGUAGCAGUGAAAUGCGUAGAUAUGUGGAGGAAUACCGAUGGCGAAGGCAGCCCCCUGGGAUAACACUGACGCUCAUGCACGAAAGCGUGGGGAGCAAACAGG
rnacentral:rRNA from 1 species